UAAAACUCAAAGGAAUUGACGGGGGCCCGCACAAGCGGCGGAGCAUGCGGAUUAAUUCGAUGCAACGCGAAGAACCUUACCAAGGCUUGACAUGUGCCAGACCGCUCCAGAGAUGGGGUUUCCCUUCGGGGCUGGUUCACAGGUGGUGCAUGGUUGUCGUCAGCUCGUGUCGUGAGAUGUUGGGUUAAGUCCCGCAACGAGCGCAACCCUCGUUCCAUGUUGCCAGCACGUAGUGGUGGGGACUCAUGGGAGACUGCCGGGGUCAACUCGGAGGAAGGUGGGGAUGACGUCAAAUCAUCAUGCCCCUUAUGUCUUGGGCUUCACGCAUGCUACAAUGGCCGGUACAAUGGGUUGCGAUACUGUGAGGUGGAGCUAAUCCCUAAAGUUCGGAUUGGGGUCUGCAACUCGACCCCAUGAAGUCGGAGUCGCUAGUAAUCGCAGAUCAG
rnacentral:rRNA from 2 species